rnacentral:rRNA from 1 species
UGUGUAGGUGGAUGCCUAAGUGCCUUGUGAAAUCCCAUGGCCUAACCAUGGAAUUGCUGGGCAUACUGGGUGUCUUGAGCCACUCAGGGGCUACCGGAACAAGCGGUGGAGCGGUGAAAUGCGUAGAUAUCGCUUGGAACGCCAAUGGUGAAAACAGGUAGCUGGGGGUGUGCUGACACUGAGACACGAAAGCCAGGGGAGCGAACG